rnacentral:rRNA from 1 species
GACGUAGGAUGCAAGCGUUGUCCGGAUUUAUUGGGCGUAAAGAGUUUGUAGGUGGUUCGUUAAGUCUGAUGUUAAAUAUCGGGGCUCAACCUCGGGAGUGCAUUGGAUACUGGCGGACUUGAGUGUGGUAGAGGCAAUCGGAAUUCCAGGUGUAGCGGUGAAAUGCGUAGAUAUCUGGAAGAACACCGGUGGCGCAAGCGGAUUGCUGGGCCAUAACUGACACUGAGGAACGAAAGCUAGGGGAGCAAAUGGG